AAAAUAUGUUGAGAGCACUUUCUAAUCAUCUCCUUAAAUUUUUCCUAGCUCUCAUAAAUUGACUCUCCAUAAAAUUGGGAAAAAGAAGUAAUAUCACUCCUAAACUU